rnacentral:rRNA from 1 species
GAUGAACGCUAGCGGCAGGCUUAAUACAUGCAAGUCGAGGGACAGCACAGGUAGCAAUACUGGGUGGUAACUGGCAAACGGGUGCGGAACACGUACACAACCUUCCUUUAAGUGGGGGAUAGCCCAGAGAAAUUUGGAUUAAUACCCCGUAAUAUAGUUGAAUGGCAUCAUUUGAUUAUUAUAGCUACGGCGCUUAAUGAUGGGUGUUCGGCUGAUUAGAUAGUUGGCGGGGUAACGGCCCACCAAGUCUACGAUCAGUAGCUGAUGUGAGAGCAUGAUCAGCCACACGGGCACUGAGACACGGGCCCGACUCCUACGGGAGGCAGCAGUAAGGAAUAUUGGUCAAUGGACGCAAGUCUGAACCAGCCAUGCCGCGUGAAGGAUUAAGGUCCUCUGGAUUGUAAACUUCUUUUAUUUGGGACGAAAAAGGGUCUUUCUAGACCAACUGACGGUACCAGAUGAAUAAGCACCGGCUAACUCCGUGCCAGCCGCCGCAGUAAUAC